AUGCCAUGAUCAAGAUAUCGAGGAUCCACAUGCUUAAAGAAAGAGGUUAUGAAAUUCACCCAAUUUACUAAACUAAAUAUUUUAUCAUACUAAUUUAAACACAUCCCGAU
rnacentral:rRNA from 1 species